rnacentral:rRNA from 1 species
UACGAAGGGGGCUAGCGUUGCUCGGAAUCACUGGGCGUAAAGGGCGCGUAGGUGGCCCGACAAGUCAAUGGUGAAAGCUCGACGCUCAACGUCGAGUCGGCCACUGAUACUGUUGGGCUGGAGCACUGUAGAGGCUCAUGGAAUUCCGGGUGUAGCGGUGGAAUGCGUAGAGAUCCGGAAGAACACCGGUGGCGAAGGCGGUGAGCUGGGCAGUAACUGACGCUGAGGAGCGAAAGCGUGGGGAGCGAACAGG